GAUGAAGAACGUAGCGAAAUGCGAUACUUGGUGUGAAUUGCAGAAUCCCGUGAACCAUCGAGUCUUUGAAUGCAAGUUGUGCCCGAAGCCAUUAGGCCGAGGGCACGCCUGCCUGGGCGUCACACGUCGUUGCCCCCCCCAUCUACUCCUUCGGGAUUGCGGGGGGCGGAUGAUGGCCUCCCGUGCGCCUCGCCGCGCGGUUGGCAUAAAUGCCAAGUCCUCGGCGACGCACGCCACGACAAUCGGUGGUUGCGAAACCUCGGUUGCCCGUCGUGUGCGGUUGUCGCGCAUCGAGGGCUCGAAAAAAUUGCCGAGUUCCGGCUCGGCUUUCAACGCGACCCCAGGUCAGGCGGGGUUACCCGCUGAAUUUAAGCAUAUCAAUAAGCGGAGGA
rnacentral:misc_RNA from 1 species